AUUGAACGCUGCGGCAUGCUUUACACAUGCAAGUCGCACGGUAACAGGCCUUCGGGUGCUGACGAGUGGCGAACGGGUGAGUAAUGCAUCGGAACGUACCCAGAGGUGGGGGAUAACGCAGCGAAAGCUGUGCUAAUACCGCAUGUGAUCUGAGGAUGAAAGCGGGGGACCGAGCAGCAAUGUUUGGCCUCGCGCCUUUGGAGCGGCCGAUGUCGGAUUAGCUAGUUGGUGGGGUAAAGGCCUACCAAGGCGACGAUCCGUAGCUGGUCUGAGAGGACGACCAGCCACACUGGGACUGAGACACGGCCCAGACUCCUACGGGAGGCAGCAGUGGGGAAUUUUGGACAAUGGGCGCAAGCCUGAUCCAGCAAUGCCGCGUGCGGGAAGAAGGCCUUCGGGUUGUAAACCGCUUUUGGCAGGAACGAAACGGUGUCCGCUAAUACCGGGCGCUAAUGACGGUACCUGCAGAAUAAGCACCGGCUAACUACGUG
rnacentral:rRNA from 1 species